CAGCAUAUUUAAGGCGCAACGAACACGGUUUUACUGACAUUUCAAGCAGCAACAGCCAUUAUAGCCAUACUCGUUCAACGUGUAGACUAGUAUCGUAAGUGAAAGUAAAGGGCAUCAAAAAAUAGUGCGGAGGUAGCUAGGAGAUCGUAGCAAUAGCAUGUGUCGUUGAACAAAGCAUUGAAAUCUUAAAAAGACGGUGGAGUAUUUGAAGAUAUGAUAAGAGGGGAAGGUAUUACCCCACAAAAGUGGAAGAUUUGCUAAAAUUUGUGAGGCAUUACAUAACAUCUGCAUAAAAUUUACAAUUAGUUACGACUCUCAAAAAUUCGUAUCACACACAAAAAAUGGACAACGGGGUAGCGAACCGCUUCACCGCAAUCGACCAAAUAAAUAAUUUUAAAUCAAAAAUGUAUAUAUCCUUAUCCUUGUAAAUAAUUUAAUUUUUAUUGGCAACUAAAAUACAAAAAUUUUAUCACAUAAAUAAUUUUUAUUUUUUAAUUUUUAAUGAGAUAUUCCAUUCAUUGGUUUCUUGUUUAAGUUCUUUAUUCCUAAAAAAAUAAAAAAAACUUAAAAUUUAAAAAAAAAUUUACUCACAUUUCCAUAAAUUUGUAUAUUACGAUUGGUAGUUACGUAGGUUUAUAUAGGUAGGAUACGUUUAUAUACUCGUUCACGUGUGUCAUCUUGCUAGAUUACGAUAGAAGCGUUACGAUCACGUAUAUAAGCGUUACGGUCACGUAUGUCAUAAUACGAAAUACAGACUUUUCCGUGACGAGUGAUACGUUCACGGAUGUAACGAUUCG